ACUCCUACGGGAGGCAGCAGUGGAGGAAUAUUGGACAAUGGACGCAAGUCUGAUCCAGCCAUGCCGCGUGCAGGAAGAAUGCCCUAUGGUUGUAAACUGCUUUUAUUUGGGAAUAAACCCCUUCUCGUGAGGAGGGCUGAAGGUACCAAACGAAUAAGCACCGGCUAACUCCGUGCCAGCAGCCGCGGUAAUACGGAGGGGUGCAAGCGUUAUCCGGAAUCAUUGGGUUUAAAGGGGUCCGCAGGCGGACGUAUAAGUCAGUGGUGAAAGCCUACAGCUUAACUGUAGAACUGCCAUUGAUACUGUAUGUCUUGAAUUCGGUCGAAGUGGGCGGAAUGUGUCAUGUAGCGGUGAAAUGCAUAGAUAUGACACAGAACACCGAUAGCGAAGGCAGCUCACUAGGCCUGAAAUUGACGCUCA
rnacentral:rRNA from 1 species